AUGUGCAUGGGUGACUUCAACGAAACCUUGUACUCUGACGAACACUUCAGUAGAGCAGCUCGCCCCGAGCGACAGAUGAGAGAGUUUCGAGAAGUGACCGACGAAUGUGCUCUCCAAGAUCUAGGGUGGUCCGGUGUUGCUUACACUUGGGACAACCGCCAAGCUGGAGAUGCGAAUGUCAAGGCAAGGAUUGACAGAGCCUUUGCCAAUGAAGAGUUUAGGCAGAAAUUUGAUCAUAUAUGUGUUAGGCAUGUGUGUGCAGUGGAAUCGGAUCAUUGUUUUGUCAUCGCUGAAUUCAGGAACCAUGCAUUUACACAUAGGCCGUUUGGAGCCAGACAAUUUCGUUACGAAAACAUUUGGCAAUCUCACCAGGAUUAUGAACAUCUAAUCGCACAAACGUGGCGGGGGCAUGCCCGUGGUCCUAGUUUACAAGGAAUAAUGGACUCCCUAGGGGCGCUUCAGAGUCGGCUCGAGCCAUGGAGAGCCCGCGAAUUUGGUAGCCUGUCCAGAAACAUUCGCAACUUGCAAAAGCGGCUUGACAGGCUGCGUCAACACUCCAUGGGAAGGGGCCCAUCCGAUGAGGAGAAAGGCAUCAUGCAGAAGCUGAGAGAAGCACUCCGCCUCGAGGAAAUCUGGAUGAGGCAAUGA
rnacentral:rRNA from 1 species